rnacentral:rRNA from 1 species
AUUGAACGCUGGCGGCAGGCCUAACACAUGCAAGUCGAGCGGAUGAAGGGAGCUUGCUCCUGGCUUCAGCGGCGGACGGGUGAGUAAUGCCUAGGAAUCUGCCUGGUCGUGGGGGCUAACGUCCGGAAACGGGCGCUAAUACCGCAUACGUCCUGAGGGAGAACGUGGGGGAUCUUCGGACCUCACGCUAUCAGAUGAGCCUAGGUCGGAUUAGCUAGUUGGUGAGGUAAAGGCCUACCAAGGCGACGAUCCGUAACUGGUCUGAGAGGAUGAUCAGUCACACUGGAACUGAGACACGGUCCAGACUCCUACGGGAGGCAGCAGCGGGGAAUAUUGGACAAUGGGCGAAAGCCUGAUCCAGCCAUGCCGCGUGUGUGAAGAAGGUCUUCGGAUUGUAAAGCACUUUAAGUUGGGAGGAAGGGCAGUAAGUUAAUACCUUGCUGUUUUGACGUUACCAACAGAAUAAGCACCGGCUAACUUCGUG